AACUUGGCUCCGGGGUCUCCUUCCCUUGUUGGUCUCCAUGUUCUCUUUGCUCCAGCUCCCGGGUGAAUCUCACUGUGACGCAGCCUGGCGAUCAAAGGAGGCGGUCUAUCACAACGGAAGAUGGGACGUCAGAACUGAAGAGUGGGAAGUUUGAAAUCUGAGUCCAUCUCUGAUCACAGUGGGGAACAAUCCUCAUGUAUGAGUCACCCACCUCCUCCCAGGAGUACCUCCCAGUUAUUUCUCUCACACUCUCUCUCUUUGGGCCUCAGGAUGGGGAGUCUGUCUCAGACUUUUUCAACCUGCAUCUCUUUGACUUUAGCUUGAGGACUUUGAGCUUGACUGCAGCACUGCUCAUGACAAUGGGCAGAGUUCUAAAUAAGAACACAAGAUGGAGCCAUUCGCGACAGGCACUGCAGAGGCAGAACAGGCAGCAGAGGAAGACAACCAGGCGCAAGCAGAAUGCAUUUUAAUUGGCAGUGCUGAUGCAAACACCAACACGGCUGCUACUCUGAAAACUGAUGUGGAACUGAUACUUACCAGCAAUGGACAGCUAGAAACAUUACAGGAAAAGGAAGGACACCCUCAGCUAGAAAUCAAGGCCCAGCUCCUCAGCUGGUGUGAUCCAGCGUAGCCACAUUGAAGUCCGUGGUGUUUCACUGGUUUGCACCAUGUGAGGAUCUGAAAGUACAGAAAUUCUAUAGAAAAUGUCACACAAUGAAUGCCAGGUUGUCCAAGUA